rnacentral:tRNA from 1 species
CUGACUGCCGGCGCGGCGGCCAGCGGCGCAACGGGCUCGGGCUCGGGCUCGGGCUCGGGCUCGGGCUCGGGCUCGGGCUCGGGCUCGGCAGCCAGG